AGCAAAAUGUUGGGUCCUCUUUACAUAUCCAGUCUAUUAGUGAAAGAUCCCCAGAGUGGGGAGACCCUCACUCAAGUCUCGGGAUGACGUGUCCCCAAGAAUUCACACAAGACC
rnacentral:pre_miRNA from 14 species